rnacentral:sRNA from 1 species
GUGAUCCACCCGCCUCCCCCCCCCAGACCUGGUUCGAGUUCACCCCUCACCACGCUGGCUUCCCUGCACUGGGGGCCUUUGUUUCCAUAACCCACUUCGGAAGCAAAUUCAAGAAGGGAAGACUGGUCAGAACUCACCCUGAGAGAGACCUGACUUUCCUGAGAGGCUCACUCAGUAACUUUAUGGAUUUUGUGAAGAAAACAGGCAUUUGCGCUUCAAAGUGGGAAUGGGGGACCACUCACAACUUCCUGUACAAACACAUCCCCGGAAGCAGCUGAUCCUCUUUCUUCCUGGGCACCACAGGUGGCAUCCGGGACAAGAUAAUGAGCAGCCGGAAGCACCUCCACCUGGUGGAUGCUGGUUUAGCCAUCAACACUCCCUUCCCACUCGUGCUGCCCCCGACGCGGGAGGUUCACCUCAUCCUCUCCUUCGACUUCAGUGCCGGAGAUCCUUUCGAGCACCCGCAGUCGGCCACAUCCAACGAACUUCUGAUCCAAAGCCAUCCCAGACCUUCCCGGGCCCCUCUUCCUGGCAGAUGACUCUCCCCGCUUCUGCGUCCUGCCUGCCCAUUCAUACCAGUUUGAACUGCAACAGCCUAGCUCCUCACCUGUGCACCUCCUUCCCCAGGUGUGCACGUCUCCAGCCCCGAGCGCGUGUCUUCCUG